GACAGAGGGUGCAAACGUUGCUCGGAAUUACUGGGCGUAAAGCGCGUGUAGGUGGAUUGGUGUGUCAGAUGUGAAAUCCCUGGGCUCAACCCAGGAACUGCACCUGAAACUACCAGUCUUGAGUGGUGGAGAGGGAAGUGGAAUUCCUGGUGUAGAGGUGAAAUUCGUAGAUAUCAGGAGGAACACCAGUGGCGAAGGCGGCUUCCUGGACACCAACUGACGCUGAGACGCGAAAGCGUGGGGAGGCAAACAGG
rnacentral:rRNA from 1 species